UUUCCGUAGGUGAACCUGCGGAAGGAUCAUUAUUGAAAGAUGGGUUUUGUCUAUGGACUGGCCCGCUCUCUACCCACACUUGUGAAUUUACCCUGUUGCUUUGGUAGGUUCUCACGUUUGACUCUUGAGUCGGGUGUGAGUGAAAAUCUGCACAAGAUGCCUGCCAAAGGUUUUCCAAUAACCAUGUUUUUUAUGUCAAGUCAGACUUUGUUUUAAAUACAAAAUUGUAAUAACACUUUCAACAAUGGAUCUCUUGGCUCUGGCAUCGAUGAAGAACGCAGC
rnacentral:misc_RNA from 1 species